AGGUCAGGAAUAGAGUAUAUAAUAGAGCAUUUAUGGUAAGGAUGUCAUGAGCUACCGUGCUUGCUAGCUCUUCAUGUUAAGUGGGUGAGCAAGCUCCUCUCUCAGGCUCCUUCUGCCCUUCUUGAACAGGGUGUUGAAAGAUUAAAUGAUCAUUGAGGUUGGAAGGGACCCAAGGGUCUCUACUCCAGCCUCCUGCUGGAAGCAGGGCCAAGGAUGGAGACCACACAACCUCUCUAGCCAGCUGGUGCUUGACUGUCCUCCCGGUGAGAAGGUUUCUCCUUAGACACUGCCUGAACCUCUCUCCCAUUGUUAUGCCCAUUGAUCUCCUCUCACCUUGCACCCUGUGAGGAGCCUGGCCACAUCUCCUCAGUGCCCCUGUGUGGGUUAUGCAUCUGCAGGUCCUGCUGGCCCAUUCCUGCCUCCAUCAUUGAUGAGAUCCCCCAUUCUGGGGCCACCUGCAGCUUUCUGAGCACGGACAGUGACCAGGAGGCAGUGAGGAGCCUGGGGCCCUCCUGCCCUUUGCUUUUCCCUCUCACAGCUCUGCACUCUUAAGAGAUCCCUGGCGGAAAUGCCAGUGCCUAGAGCCAGCAGGACCAACCUCUCCUUACACGAGUGAUGCCACCACUGCCUCUUGCAGCCCUGACUCCAGAUUCCUCCCAUGUCAUUCACAGUUCCAAGGGCACCAUGGGACUGCACUGGCUUCUCCUUGGCACGCAAGCGAAGCAGAGAUGGGCUUGGAUCUGAAAACUCUCCAGAGCAGGACAGCCCUGAGCAAGGUCAAGGCCCGUGCUCAUCCCACCACCAUUUUGCCAAGCGGGUGGUUGGGAAGCACAGAGCCCAGUUACAAGACAAAGGCCGGGAGUCCCAGGGCAGCGUCACCAGCGCAGUCAUCUCCACACAUGCAAAGGUCCCUUCUGCCUUUUUUUUUUUUCCCCUUUGAAAUUUCAAAUUCCAGUUUGUGGACAAAGUCCUGCCUAUCUGAGAAUAUAGAUCUCCGACCACUGACCAAACUCCACUCCAAGCAGUCCCGAGGGCUGCUCUUCCCCUUGCCCGCAGAUGCCUCCGCUCAGCCCCUGGAUCUGCUGGGAUCACUCCUUUUGCACUGGAGCAGAGUGCUCGUACUUGCAUAAAGAGGAUUCUGUGUGUUUCAGCCUAAACAUCAGCAGCUCCCUUUCUCCUCACGGAAUGGGAAGGACCAUCGGGAAUAACCAGGAGUGUGCAGGGUGCCUGGAUACGCACUUGUCCUCGGUGUCCUCAGUCACCAGAGCACACCAAGUGCCAGAGGGGUAAGUGGGAGCUAAGUAGCACCCUGGAGCUUCAUGUCCACAGCAGCUUCGCACCCCUGCAGCCUGUGGCCACCACAGCACCUCCCGUGCAACAGAGCAUCCUGUCCACUGCCACAGAAACACGCAGCAGCAAGCAAGGUAUGGGAACAGGGGAGCUUUCUACAGGCAAGGUUUGUUGCAUGGGGAGGGGAGAAGAUCACGCAUGGGCACGACACUGCAGUGCCAACUGCCUGGCUCCCAGCUAACAAACAACAUAGCUAACGACUAAUUAGCCUCUGAGCAUUUGACCUAUGUCUCCAAGACAGGAUAGCACUAUUAGUUAUCCCUUUACUUUCCUGGAAGGCCCAGUGCCAUUGGCCUCUUGUAUCAUAAAGAAAUUAAAGUAUAUUAUGACCAUAAACUACAUCAUUUGAGGAAAUGAACCAUUUCUUAGUAAACCAAUCAUGGGACACAGCAA